CUGGAACGCGCUUCGGCGCACCCAGAAACCCUUUGUGAACUUAUACCUUACUGUUGCCUCGGCGCAGGCCGGCCUCUUAGCUGAGGCCCCCCGGAGACGGGGAGCAGCCCGCCGGCGGCCAACCAAACUCUUGUUUCUACAGUGAAUCUCUGAGUAAAAAACAUAAAUGAAUCA
rnacentral:misc_RNA from 1 species